rnacentral:rRNA from 1 species
UACGUAGGGGGCAAGCGUUGUCCGGAUUUAUUGGGCGUAAAGAGCGUGUAGGCGGCCAUGUAGGUCCGUUGUGAAAACUCGAGGCUCAACCUCGAGACGCCGAUGGAAACCAUGUGGCUAGAGUCCGGAAGAGGAGAGUGGAAUUCCUGGUGUAGAGGUGAAAUUCGUAGAUAUUGGGAAGAACACCGGUGGCGAAGGCGGCGACCUGGUCCUUGACUGACGCUGAGGCGCGAAAGCGUGGGGAGCAAACAGG